rnacentral:tRNA from 2 species
GCCGGGAUAGCCAAGCGGAUCACACAGAAGGUGUCCGUAAACGGCGCAGGCCUGGAGAGCCUGUGAUCCGAAAGGAUCGCGCGGGUUCGAAUCCUGCUCCCGGCGCCA